GAUGAACGCUGACAGAAUGCUUAACACAUGCAAGUCAACUUGAAUUUGGGUUUUUAACUUAGGUUUGGGUGGCGGACGGGUGAGUAACGCGUAAAGAACUUGCCUCACAGCUAGGGACAACAUUUGGAAACGAAUGCUAAUACCUAAUAUUAUGAUAAUAGGGCAUCUUAUAAUUAUGAAAGCUAUAAGCGCUGUGAGAGAGCUUUGCGUCCCAUUAGCUAGUUGGAGAGGUAACGGCUCACCAAGGCGAUGAUGGGUAGCCGGUCUGAGAGGGUGAUCGGCCACAAGGGGACUGAGACACGGCCCUUACGCCUACGGGAGGCAGCAGUGGGGAAUAUUGGACAAUGGACCGAGAGUCUGAUCCAGCAAUUCUGUGUGCACGAUGAAGUUUUUCGGAAUGUAAAGUGCUUUCAGUUGGGAAGAAACAAAUGACGGUACCAACAGAAGAAGUGACGGCUAAAUACGUG
rnacentral:rRNA from 1 species